rnacentral:rRNA from 1 species
UACGUAGGAGGCGAGCGUUGUCCGGAUUUACUGGGCGUAAAGGGCGCGUAGGCGGCCCCCUGAGUCCCGCGUGAAAUCUCCCGGCUCAACCGGGAGGGUGCGCGGGAUACUGGGGGGCUGGAGGGCAUCAGAGGGAAGCGGAAUCCCCGGUGUAGUGGUGAAAUGCGUAGAUAUCAAGUGGAACACCAGUGGCGAAGGCGAGUCUCUGGACAUUUCCUGACGCUGAGGCACGAAAGCCAGGGGAGCAAACGGG